rnacentral:rRNA from 1 species
AAUCAACGCUGGCGGCGUGCCUCAGACAUGCAAGUCGAACGCGAAAGUCCCCUUCGGGGGACAAGUAGAGUGGCGCACGGGUGAGUAACACGUAGGUAAUCUACCUUCGGAUGGGGAAUAACAACCGGAAACGGUUGCUAAUACCGCAUAAUGCAGCGGCACCUAAUGGUGACAGUUGUUAAAGCGGGGGAUCGAAAGACCCCGCGUCUGAAGAGGAGCCUGCGGCGGAUUAGCUAGUUGGAAGGUAAUGGCUUACCAAGGCGACGAUCCGUAGCCGGCCUGAGAGGGCGGUCGGCCACACUGACACUGACAUACGGGUCAGACUCCUACGGGAGGCAGCAGUCGGGAAUUUUGGGCAAUGGGCGAAAGCCUGACCCAGCAACGCCGCGUGAAGGAUGAAAUCCCUCGGGAU